rnacentral:lncRNA from 1 species
ACAACAACCAAUAAGGCCGGUGCUUCUUGUAGUCUCGUUUUAUAGGUGAUGAAACUGAGGCUUACAGAGAGCAUGUGGCUGGCCUGAGCUUGCACAGCUGGGGAGUGGCUGAGCCAGGAUUUGAAGCAAGGCUGUGUGCUUCUGGCCAACUCACCCUUCUACCCCUUGCUGAAGGGAAUGAGUGAUGUCAUCUGCACUGUGGAGGUGUUGAGGGGAUGUGACUGAAUUGGGCACUGAGGACCACAAGGAAGCAAGGAGACGUGAAGACAGAAGAGAGGUUCUUGUGCAUACGUUUGAACAGGGAAAAGAUUGAAAUCAAAUGCCCGGAGGUUCCAAGGAAGAGUAAAAAUAGAAGCCAGAGUGGCAGAGGGAACCAUUAUGCAGUGUGUGGCCCUCAUUCACGAUGCUUACAGUAGCUGAUUUAUUAGAAGACAGAAAAGAAAAUUGAUUUAUAAAUGGUCUUGGGAAGGGGAAACGGAUGGAAUAAAUGAGCUGAGACUAGGAUAUGAGCUACACUAAGGGCUCCAUGUGCCUUCUCAAAAGAAUAAAAGAAUCAAGACACAGUCUCACUAUUUGGGAGGUGUUGAAGGAGAUGCAUACAGCUGGCAAGGCCAAGGGAAGAUGCUGCGCUAUCUCCUACCAGUCCACUCCAACCAGGAGCCAGGCUGGAGCUGAAAACCGCAAAGGGCAAGGUCAUCAUAGCUGCAAAGGUCACAGAUGUCAGCCCAAACUGAUACAGAAGGCAGUCAUCACAACUUCUACCACCGCUCUGACCAAACAAGCCUCCCAGGUGCUGGGAUCUACCAGAGGAAAGGAGAAGAGAGCCUGAGAUGGAAUUUUGAACUGGACUCCAGUGAGUUAAUUAUCCUGAACCCACUGAUCAAUCUCAAGAGUGGGCUGAAUAUUCUGAGAAUGGCUGCCUGAAGAUGUCUGCCAGAGGGUGGCUAGAGGGUCAGAGACAGAAAUUCAGGGCUAUUUUAGAAAUAAACACAAGUCUACUUAUUUUUGUCCAUGUCUAGGCCUAUUGAAAUAUUUUACCCCUUACAUAAGAUUCCCUUACU